rnacentral:rRNA from 1 species
UACGUAGGUGGCAAGCGUUGUCCGGAUUUACUGGGCGUAAAGAGCGCGCAGGCGGUCGUUCAAGUCGCGUGUGAAAGCCCCCGGCUCAACUGGGGAGGGUCACGCGAUACUGAUCGACUCGAAGGCAGGAGAGGGUAGUGGAAUUCCCCGGUGUAGUGGUGAAAUGCGUAGAUAUCCGGGGAGGAAGACCAGUGGCGAAGGCGGGUCUCUGGACAGUUCCUGAGCGCUGAGGCCACGAAGGCCAGGGGA